rnacentral:rRNA from 1 species
CAGGGGGAUAAUCGUCGGAAACGGCGUCUAAUACCCCGUAUGAAGCUGGACGGCAUCGUCUGGUUUUGAAAGAAUAUCGGAGACGGAUGGGCAUGCGGCGCAUUAGCUAGUUGGCGGGGUAACGGCCCACCAAGGCGACGAUGCGUAGGGGUUCUGAGAGGAAGGUCCCCCACACUGGUACUGAGACACGGACCAGACUCCUACGGGAGGCAGCAGUGAGGAAUAUUGGUCAAUGGGCGAGAGCCUGAACCAGCCAAGUCGCGUGAGGGAGUACUGCCCUAUGGGUUGUAAACCUCUUUUGUCGGGGAGCAAAAGCCGGACGUGUCCGUCUGUGAGAGUACCCGAAGAAAAAGCAUCGGCUAACUCCGUGCCAGCAGCCGCGGUAAUACGGAGGAUGCGAGCGUUAUCCGGAUUUAUUGGGUUUAAAGGGUGCGCAGGCGGAUUUUUAAGUCAGCGGUCAAAUCGUGGGGCUCAACCCCAUCCAGCCGUUGAAACUGGGGAUCUAGAGUGUGCGAGAGGUAUGCGGAAUGCGUGGUGUAGCGGUGAAAUGCAUAGAUAUCACGCAGAACCCCGAUUGCGAAGGCAGCAUACCGGUGCACAACUGACGCUCAGGCACGAAAGCGUGGGUAUCGAACAGGAUUAGAUACCCUGGUAGUCCACGCAGUAAACGAUGAAUGCUACCUGUUUGGCCAGAUUGAAGGCUGAGCGGGACAG